rnacentral:rRNA from 1 species
AGGCGACGACGGGUAGCCGGCCUGAGAGGGCGACCGGCCACACUGGGACUGAGACACGGCCCAGACUCCUACGGGAGGCAGCAGUGGGGAAUAUUGCACAAUGGGCGCAAGCCUGAUGCAGCGACGCCGCGUGAGGGAUGAAGGCCUUCGGGUUGUAAACCUCUUUCAGCAGGGAAGAAGCGAAAGUGACGGUACCUGCAGAAGAAGCACCGGCUAACUACGUGCCAGCAGCCGCGGUAAUACGUAGGGUGCAAGCGUUGUCCGGAAUUAUUGGGCGUAAAGAGCUCGUAGGCGGUCUGUCGCGUCUGCUGUGAAAACUCGGGGCUCAACCCCGGGCCUGCAGUGGGUACGGGCAGACUAGAGUGCGGUAGGGGAGAC